UACAGAGGUCUCAAGCGUUGUUCGGAUUCAUUGGGCGUAAAGGGUGCGUAGGCGGCGCGGUAAGUCGGAUGUGAAAUCUCGGAGCUUAACACCGAAACUGCAUUCGAUACUGCCGUGCUUGAGGACUGGAGAGGAGACUGGAAUUUACGGUGUAGCGGUGAAAUGCGUAGAUAUCGUAAGGAAGACCAGUGGCGAAGGCGGGUCUCUGGACAGUUCCUGACGCUGAGGCACGAAGGCCAGGGGAGCAAACGGG
rnacentral:rRNA from 1 species